UACGUAGGGGGCAAGCGUUGUCCGGAAUCAUUGGGCGUAAAGCGCGUGUAGGCGGCUGAGUAAGUCUGCUCUGAAAGCCCGGGGCUCAACCCCGGGAGGCGGGUGGAUACUGCUCAGCUCGAGUCCGGAAGAGGAGUGUGGAAUUCCUGGUGUAGCGGUGGAAUGCGCAGAUAUCAGGAGGAACACCAAUAGCGAAGGCAGCUCGCUGGGACGUUACUGACACUGAGGCGCGAAAGCGUGGGGAGCGAACAGG
rnacentral:rRNA from 1 species